rnacentral:rRNA from 1 species
AGAACUAAAAAGGAUUCCCUUAGUAAUGGCGAAUGAACAGGGAUGAGCUCAAUAUGGAAAUUGUGGCUUCUGGCUUUGAAUUGUAAUCUCAAGAUGCAUUGCUAACUGGGGCGUAGGUGAAAGCCUCUUGGAAAAGAGAAUCAUUGAGGGUGAGAAUCCUGUUUGUCAUCUACAGUCCUCCGUGUACGGCAUGCGUUCUAAGAGUCACGUUCCUCGGGAUUGGAGCGCAAACUGGGUGGUAAAUUUCAUCUUAAGCUAAAUAAGGGUUCGAGACCGAUAGCAAACAAGUACCAUGAGGGAAAGAUGAAAAGGACUUUGAAAAGAGAGUUAAAAGUGCCUGAACUUGCUGAAAGGAAAGCGGAUGGAACCAGUGUUGCUUGGCGAGAUUGUUGCGUGCGAAAGUGAUUGCUUGCUGCAUCAGCGCAAGCGGUGCUGUGGGUUUUGAUCUGGCUGUGCGCGAUGCUUCUUGCCUCGUGUGUCAUCGUCAGUGUGCUGGUGAGGACAACUCUUGGGACAUGGUAGCCUGCCCCUGGGCGUGCGAAUGUGCCUUGCAGAACUCACUGUCAUAUUGCUCCUCCACAUGUGAGGUCGUGCUGCCUUUCUUUGGCACCUGUGUUGGCGUUUGUGCCUGGCCUAGGUGUCGUUUGCUGAGCACCUUCCUGACAUAGCCAUGGUGACUAAAUGGUUCUAUUCGACCCGUCUUGAAACACGGACCAAGGAGUCUAACAUGUGUGCGAGUUCUUGGGCGGCGAAACCUACGUGCGCAAUGAAAGUGAUUACUGAGAUGCUAGCAUCAGCAGCCGACCGAUCAAUUGGGAGAGGUUUGAGCAUGAGCAUAUCUGUUAGGACCCGAAAGAUGGUGAACUAUGCUUGUGAAGGGUGAAGUCUGGGGAAACUCAGAUGGAGGCUCGUAGCGAUACUGACGUGCAAAUCGUUCGUCAUACAUGGGUAUAGGGGCGAAAGA